AAAUCAGGUGGGACUACCCGCUGAACUUAAGCAUAUCAAUAAGCGGAGGAAAAGAAAAUAACUAUGAUUCCCUUAGUAACGGCGAGUGAACAGG
rnacentral:rRNA from 1 species